rnacentral:rRNA from 1 species
UGAAUACGAGAUGCUACGGCGUCGAAGCAGUCUAUGUCAUACUUCCAAGAAAAGCUUGCACUGUCAUAAACAAAUAAUGCCUGUACCAUAACCGACACAGGUGGGUAGGUAGAGUAUACUAAGGGGCGCGAGAUAACUCUCUCUAAGGAACUCGGCAAAAUGACUCCGUAACUUCGGGAGAAGGAGUGCCUUAUUUAUAAGGUUGCAAUAACAAGAUCCAAGCAACUGUUUACCAAAAACACAGGUCUCCGCUAAGUCGUAAGACGAUGUAUGGGGGCUGACGCCUGCCCAGUGCCAGAAGGUUAAAGAAGUUGGUUAGCAUUUGCGAAGCUGAUAACUGAAGCCCUGGUGAACGGCGGCCGUAACCAUAACGGUCCUAAGGUAGCGAAAUUCCUUGUCGGGUAAGUUCCGACCCGCAAAAGGCGUAAUGAUUUGGAUACUGUCUCGGAGAGGGGCUCGGUGAAAUAGACUUGUCUGUGAAGAUGCGGACUACCUGCACCUGGACAGAAAGACCCUAUGAAGCUUUACUGUAACUUGAAAUUGAAAUUGGACUUUAUUUGCGCAGCAUAGGUGGGAGGCGUCGAUAGUAAUCUUCGGGAUUAUUGGAGCCAUCAGUGAGAUACCACUCUUGUAAUGUUAGAUUUCUAACUUUGUAUCAUUAUCUGGUCAAAGAACAGUUUCAGGCGGGCAGUUUGACUGGGGCGGUCGCCCCCCAAACGGUAACGGAGGCGCACAAAGGUUUCCUCUGAACGGGUAGAAAUCGUAUCUAGAGUGUAAAGGCAUAAGGAAGCUUGACUGUGAGACCUACAAGUCGAGCAGGGACGAAAGUCGGUCUUAGUGAUCUGACGGUGCUGAGUGGAAAGGCCGUCACUCAACGGAUAAAAGUUACUCUAGGAUAACAGGCUGAUCUCCCCCAAGAGUUCACAUCGACGGGGAGGUUUGGCACCUCGAUGUCGGCUCAUCGCAUCCUGGGGCGGUAGUACGUCCCAAGGGUUGGGCUGUUCGCCCAUGAAAGCGGUACGCGAGCUGGGUUCAGAACGUCGUGAGACAGUUCGGUCCAUAUCCGGUGUAGGCGUUAGAAUAUUGAGAGGAGCCUUCUCUAGUACGAGAGGACCGAGAAGGACAUACCUCUGGUGUACCAGUUAUCGUGCCAACGGUAAACGCUGGGUAGCUAUGUAUGGAGUGGAUAACCGCUGAAAGCAUCUAAGUGGGAAGCCCACCUUAAGAUAAGUAUUCUCA